rnacentral:lncRNA from 1 species
AGUUAAGUAUUGAGGUAUAUAAUUGCAUCAUGUGGACUGAAAAAAUAAAUGAAUGUAAAUUCUAGGCUACUGUACUACACAAGUAAGUAGUUGCAUACACAGGUUGGGGAUUUCCUUCACAUAUAGGUCCAAUCAGAUGUAAAAAUUGUGGUCUCCUCACUUGACGGCAUCCAAUCAAAGUGGGGGAAAAAAUCAGUUUUAUGUAAACAAAAAUAUCUUGAGAUUUUGAUGGUAAGGAUAGGUUCGGACAAGGCUCUAAUUCACUGAAUAUCCUUUCUCUCUUGAAU